GAGUUUGAUCAUGGCUCAGAACGAACGCUGGUGGCGUGGAUUAGGCAUGCAAGUCGAACGCGAAAGAGGGGGCAACCCCUCAAGUAGAGUGGCGAACGGGUGAGUAACGCGUGAAGAACCUGCCUUCAACAGGGGGAUAACACUCCUAACGGGGUGCUAAUACCGCAUGAGACCACGGGUCUGCAUGGACCUGAGGUCAAAGGUGGCCUCUGCUUGCAAGCUACCGGUUGAAGAUGGCUUCGCGUCCCAUUAGCUAGUUGGCGGUGUAAAAGACCACCAAGGCGACGAUGGGUAGCUGGUCUGAGAGGAUGGUCAGCCACACUGGGACUGAGAUACGGCCCAGACUCCUACGGGAGGCAGCAGUCGAGAGGCUUCGGCAAUGGGGGAAACCCUGACCGAGCGACGCCGCGUGGAGGAUGAAGGCCCCUGGGUUGUAAACUCCUUUUGCUGGGGAAGAAACCCGAUCAGGUGAACAAUCUGGUCGUUUGACGGUACCCGGCGAAUAAGCUCCGGCUAACUCCGUGCCAGCAGCCGCGGUAACACGGGGGGAGCAAGCGUUGUUCGGAAUCACUGGGCGUAAAGCGCGUGCAGGCGGUUGGAUAAGUUGGGUGUGAAAGCUCCUGGCUCAACUGGGAGAGGUCGCUCAAGACUGUUCGACUGGAGC
rnacentral:rRNA from 1 species